AUCAAAUCGAGAUAUUGAAAUUUGAUAUUAAUAUGUCGAUUUGAUCUCCGCUUCGCUUGGAGUUCUAUUCCCUGGUUUUCUACGAUACUCCAAAGCGAAGGAUCACCAUAUUCAUGAUACUCUUCAUGGUGGCGUCGUGGAUUCGGCGUAUUUGACGGCGGUUCGUGGAUUCGGAUCGUGGGCUCGUGGAUUCGAGUGGCGUCGUGGAUUCGGCGUGAUUGAAGCUUCGUGGAUUCGAAGUGAAGGCGUUCGUGGAUUCGGACGUGAGGGCGUGGACAACCCGGAGGGUAGCGCGAAGAUUCAUAGGAGGUUAAGAGAGGUUAAGUCCGUGGAGUCGGUAAUCACCUUGUAAUCUUUUCUCUUAGUGAAUUGUUUUUUCGCGUGUUGGUCCCGUGGGUUUUUCUCCAAGUUGGAGUUUUCCCACGUAAAUCUCGGUGUGCUUUUUAUUUUCCGCAUUUAUUUUUAUUGCAUCGAGAUUUGUGGUUUUUGGUCGUUACACCUAUUCACCCCCCUCUAGGUGAUAGAUACAAUCUAGAUAGAUCCUUGGGCUCCUCAAAACUUUCACAUAAAGUAUUUUUGAAUGCAAAUUCAUGCUAAACAUGAUUUAUGUGAAUUUUAGAACACUUAAAAUGCAUGCCUUAUGUAUCAUAAAAUUUGCACUCUAUAUAGUAGAGCUAUAUGUGUAGAUUGAAUGCAUUGUGAAUGGUGUUUGGUUUUACAAGUUGAGAACAUGU
rnacentral:lncRNA from 1 species